rnacentral:rRNA from 1 species
UACCAGCACCCCGAGUGGUCGGGACGAUUAUUGGGCCUAAAGCAUCCGUAGCCGGUUUUACAAGUCCUCCGUUAAAUCCAGCUGCUUAACAGAUGGGCUGCGGAGGAUACUAUAAGACUAGGAGGCAGGAGAGGCAAGCGGUACUCAGUGGGUAGGGGUAAAAUCCGUUGAUCCAUUGAAGACCACCAGUGGCGAAGGCGGCUUGCCAGAACGCACUCGACGGUGAGGGAUGAAAGCUGGGGGGAGCAAA